CACUGGCUUGGGCUGGAGAGGUGAACAACUGUACUGCAGGAACGUGGCCACAUUGAUCCAAGUAUACUGUAUCAGUGGGUGUAUGAAAUACAGCAGCACAGGGGUUCAGUAUGAUAUCCAGGCAGUCACAUGACCGACCCCAGCAUCCUGAAAGCGAGAAUCCUGACACCUGUAGAGGGACUUUCUCAUGUGCUCUCAGCACCGCUGCACCCCCCAUCACCAGCUGCUCUGGGUCUGCCACUUCCAGGGCUGGUGGCUUAUUCAAUUGGGGAAGAUGAGGAGGAGGAGGAUGACAACACCACCAUCAGCCUCACUCCCGUGGAGCAUACGCCCCAUGUGCCACCGCCACAGCAGCCGCAAACACCACCGCCCAGGCCACAGCCCAACAUUCCCAAUGUGGAGGAGAUUGCCAUCUCUCUCCACCAAUUGCGCGAACACCACAUGGUAUUUAUAGAGCACCAGCCAGCUGAUGACAUUGGGCGGCAAAUGCGACAGUUGAAUAGAACUGGGGUGGUGGCACAGGGCACCCAUACCCGGAUAGCCAUGCAGAUCAAUUAUUGCCUGCAGGAAUUGACCCAGGCCACACAGGAGCGGAUGGAGGAGGUGGAGGCUAACCAGUCGCCCC